AAUCUUGAGAAACAAUACAAGAGACAUUGAAAGAACUCUUACCCGUCAUGGUCAAGAAUAGGUGGUAGAAGGCUUGGCCAUAGAAUCUAUAAGAACACCUGAGGAUAUAAACCUAGCAAGUUUAGGAUAUUGUUGGGACCCAAGGACUGGAAGGAAGAACGUGUAUCUUCGUCCAUGGCAAGGGCAACUCUUCUAAGAGGAGUAAUUAUAGAUUUUACAUAGGCCCUAAGCGGGACAAGGUUGGAGAAUAUUGACCAUUGUGCCUGAAAGGGCUAUUUGAAGACAAGGCUCCUAGUUUCUGACCUAGGUGGUGUCAGUGGAGAGGAGGAAAAGUGAAAAACUAUUUGAUGUUGAUUCUAUAAGGCCCUAAUUCAUAUUGAGGGAAAGAUGGACGGAAACUGCGAAUAGGCUAAACCUAUUAAGUUUAAGAUGGAAAAAAAGUGAAAAAUCUAUCUUAACAUGUUGAAAGAUAUUUCUAUCCUGAAUUUGUAGAAUGUUAAGGAGUGUUGAUUGAUGUAGAAACCCUGAAGAUGACAAAAAUUCGUAGGAAAUUAUUCUGUUUCAUUGUCCCUUCUCAAGAUGAAAUUGACUCGAGAAAUUGAUUUUGAAUUUCAACAUAAAGUGACUAAAAGGAUUUAACCUUGGAAGGAGUUUGAAACUGUAAAUGGACCAGGAAUUGAAAGUAACGUAAGAAUCACCAAAACACCCCAGGAAUGAGGAGUAACUUCCUCCAUCACGUUUUCUUCCUACCAAGAUUCUAUCUCUUCUAAAAGGACCCUAACUCUGUUAGUUACUGUGGGUUAAGUGGUUUUCCUAAGCUUUAAUUAGUGCUGGGCAUUAUUCUGAUGUCUGUAAAGUAGUUUCUUUUAGGUCUAGGUUUUGUUCGUUUAAACCUAUUGUCAUCACCUCAUUAUUCUGAUUACCUGUACAGAAGUAAUUUCAUUUAGUCUUAGUUCUUUCUAAGCAUUAAUCAGUGCUGCUUUAUUCUAAUGCGACAUUGAAACUUAUGUUAGUUCGUUUAGUUAACCCUGUUUAAUAGUUUGUAACUUCUUUGCAGAUGGUUUGGACACGUGAUCAAUUAUUAGCAGAGUUGACUUAAGAUUAUUGUUUUUCUGCUGCCCUUCCUCCCUGUUUUCCGUAACUGAAGACAAAGCAGCAACGGAAGAGUGGAAAUGACCAUGUUUUUCUGUAGUAGAAUGAUUGACAUCCACGUAGAGUAAAUGAAGAAAGUGUUUCAAAAGCAAUAUGGAUUGUCAUUUAUAGGCAGAUCAUAUAUUCAGUUCAAGGAUGCUUGUUUUAA